AAAAAAGUAAGCUAAAUUAAGCUAUUGAGUUCAUACCUCAAUUAUAGAUAAUUCUCUUUUUUA
rnacentral:tRNA from 1 species